GUGCAAGCCUCCAGCAUGCUUGGGUCUGGGGUGAGCCUGUGCUUUCCCACAGGGUUUGGGAGAACAAGAUAAAACCAUCUGAGGCCUUACCCUCCUCAUUCAGAGCAAGGUUAUAGAAAUUUCAGACAAUU